rnacentral:rRNA from 1 species
CACUCUAGAGAGACUGCCAGGGAUAACCUGGAGGAAGGUGGGGAUGACGUCAAAUCAUCAUGCCCCUUAUGCUUAGGGCUACACACGUGCUACAAUGGGUAGUACAGAGGGUUGCCAAGCCGUAAGGUGGAGCUAAUCCCUUAAAGCUACUCUCAGUUCGGAUUGUAGGCUGAAACUCGCCUACAUGAAGCUGGAGUUACUAGUAAUCGCAGAUCAGAAUGCUGCGGUGAAUGCGUUCCCGGGUCUUGUACACACCGCCCGUCACACCACGGGAGUUGGAGACGCCCGAAGCCGAUUAUCUAACCUUUUGGAAGAAGUCGUCGAAGGUGGAAUCAAUAACUGGGGUGAAGUCGUAACAAGGUAGCCGUAUCGGAAGGUGCGGCUGGAUCACCUCCUUUCUAAGGAGA